GAUCUGGUGACUAGUGGUUAGAGCGACCGCUUUGAAUGCGGGAGGUCACGGGUUCAAAUCCCGACCGAGUCC